AGCGAACGCUGGCGGCAUGCUUAACACAUGCAAGUCGCGCGGGUGGUUUCGGCCAUCAGCGGCGGACGGGUGAGUAUCGCGUAGGAAUGUAUCCCGAGGUGGGGGACAACCCUGGGAAACUGGGGCUAAUACCGCAUGGGGCCUGUGGGUCAAAGCCUUAGGGCGCCUUGGGAGCAGCCUGCGUCCGAUUAGGUAGUUGGUGGGGUAAAGGCCUACCAAGCCUGCGAUCGGUAGCUGGUCUGAGAGGACGAUCAGCCACACUGGGACUGAGACACGGCCCAGGCUCCUACGGGAGGCAGCAGUGGGGAAUAUUGGACAAUGGGCGCAAGCCUGAUCCAGCAAUGCCGCGUGGGUGAAGAAGGUCUUCGGAUUGUAAAGCCCUUUCGGCGGGGACGAUGAUGACGGUACCCGCAGAAGAAGCCCCGGCUAACUUCGUG
rnacentral:rRNA from 1 species